GCGCCGCGAAGUAGAUUUUAAAUAAGGUCAAACAUUAUAAAUAAUAAAUAUUGGUUUAUUAUUUGUAUAUCUUUUUAUCCCUCUACCUUUUGCGAGCAAAACUGCGAGCAAAAGGUAGGAGUAGGAUUUAUUUAAAUUAAUAAAUUAAACGAUUCCUACUCCCCUCACUCCUACGGACACAACUGUGACUGUGAGGACUCCUUCCUUUUGCUCGCAAAAGCAAGAUGAAGCCUUACAGGGAGAAAGAGUCGGAGAAAAUUGAUUUGAUUAUUCAUUUAUUUGAGUAAUUAGUGUAGUUAUUCUUUAAUAUAUAAUUUUAUUAUAUUUUUUACUAGGUAUUUAACUGCUUUUUUUAGGUCUAAUUAGUUUCGACUAACCCAUCUGAGUAACAUCUCAAAAGUCAUAGCAAGGUA
rnacentral:rRNA from 1 species